CACGUAGGGUGCGAGCGUUGUCCGGAAUUAUUGGGCGUAAAGAGCUCGUAGGCGGUGUGUCGCGUCGGCCGUGAAAACCUGCAGCUUAACUGUGGGCUUGCGGUCGAUACGGGCAUCACUGGAGUUCGGCAGGGGAGACUGGAAUUCCUGGUGUAGCGGUGAAAUGCGCAGAUAUCAGGAGGAACACCGGUGGCGAAGGCGGGUCUCUGGGCCGAUGACUGACGCUGAGUGACGACGAA
rnacentral:rRNA from 1 species